rnacentral:rRNA from 1 species
UACGAAGGGGGCUAGCGUUGCUCGGAAUCACUGGGCGUAAAGCGCACGUAGGCGGAUUGCUAAGUCAGGUGUGAAAUCCUGGAGCUCAACUCCAGAACUGCCUUUGAUACUGGCGAUCUCGAGUCCGGGAGAGGUGAGUGGAACUGCGAGUGUAGAGGUGAAAUUCGUAGAUAUUCGCAAGAACACCAGUGGCGAAGGCGGCUCACUGGCCCGGUACUGACGCUGAGGUGCGAAAGCGUGGGGAGCAAACAGG